GACGAACGCUGGCGGCGUGCUUAACACAUGCAAGUCGAACGGAAAGGCCCUGCUUUUGUGGGGUGCUCGAGUGGCGAACGUGUGAGUAACACGUGAGUAACCUGCCCUUGACUUUGGGAUAACUUCAGGAAACUGGGUCUAAUACCGGAUAGGAUCUCCUGCUGCAUGGUGGUGGUUGGAAAGUUUCGGCGGUUGGGGAUGGACUCGAGGCUUAUCAUCUUUUUGGUGGGGUAGUGGCUUACCAAGGCUUUGACGGGUAGCCGGCCUGAGAGGGUGACCGGCAACAUGGGGAGUGAGAGACGGCACAGACGCAUACGGGAGGGAGGAGGGGGGAAUAGGGCACAAUGGGCGGAAGCGUGAUGCAGAAACGGCGCGGGCGGGAUGAGGGCCUUCGGGUUGUAAACCGAUUGCGAGGGUGAAGAAGAGUGAGUGACGGUAAUGGGUAAAGAAGCACCGGCUAACUACGUG
rnacentral:rRNA from 1 species